rnacentral:rRNA from 1 species
ACGCGAAGAACCUUACCUGGACUCGAAAUUUUGUCGACCGUCUCAGAGAUGAGGCUUUCCCGCAAGGGACGGCAGAAUAGGUGCUGCAUGGCUGUCGUCAGCUCGUGUCGUGAGAUGUUGGGUUAAGUCCCGCAACGAGCGCAACCCUUACCCUUAGUUGCUAAUCCGCAAGGAAAGCACCCUAAGGGAACUGCCUGGGAUAACCAGGAGGAAGGUGGGGAUGACGUCAAGUCCUCAUGGCCUUUAUGCCCAGGGCUACACACGUGCUACAAUGGCCGGUACAAAACGUCGCAAACCCGCGAGGGGGAGCCAAUCGCCAAAAACCGGUCUCAGUUCGGAUUGCAGGCUGCAACUCGCCUGCAUGAAGCUGGAAUCGCUAGUAAUCGCGUAUCAGAACGACGCGGUGAAUACGUUCCCGGGCCUUGUA